rnacentral:rRNA from 1 species
AUACAGCGAAACUGCGAAUGGCUCAUUAUAUAAGUCCCUCGUUUAUUUGAUAGUGCCUUACUACUUGGAUAACCGUGGUAAUUCUAGAGCUAAUACAUGCUAAAAACCCCGACUUCGGAAGGGGUGUAUUUAUUAGAUACAAAACCAAUGCCCUUCGGGGCUCUUUGGUGAUUCAUGAUAACUAUACGAAUCGCACGGCCUUGCGCCGGCGAUGGUUCAUUCAAAUUUCUUCCCUAUCAACUUUCGAUGUUUGGGUAUUGGCCAAACAUGGUUGCAACGGGUAACGGAGGGUUAGGGCUCGACCCCGGAGAAGGAGCCUGAGAAACGGCUACUACAUCCAAGGAAGGCAGCAGGCGCGCAAAUUACCCAAUCCCGACUCGGGGAGGUAGUGACAAUAAAUACUGAUACAGGGCCCUUUCGGGCCUUGUAAUUGGAAUGAGUACAAUUUAAAUCCCUUAACGAGGAACAAUUGGAGGGCAAGUCUGGUGCCAGCAGCCGCGGUAAUUCCAGCUCGAUAGCGUAUAUU